AAUGGGGCCAGAUAUUGCCAUUGUUUUGACCUAAUCUUCAAUGACGACACUAAACUUAUUAAAAGAAGAAACUGAAAUCCUCUUAAUGAACUGGGGGAUUACAAGACUUGAAUCAUUGGUCAAAUAAAUGAUUCACCGACCAUGCAGUAAUGCGAAAUAUAAAGAACAAUGUCGUCUUUCCUAAAACGAUGAAGAAGGAAAGUAAAGAUGUUCCAAAUAUUUACAACCAUAGGAAGUAACCAAAAGAGGGUAGCCAGUGAAAAAGUUUUUAUACUUUUUCGGGUAACCAAAUUACUAAUACAAUAACAUGCUUUUGGGUAGGAAAGCUAGUCAUCAUAUUAAUAAAAGUAAAUGAUGAUAAUGAUAAACAUAAUCACAAAGAACAAACGAUAACUUGUAAAAUCAAGAUUUGUAUCGUUGUUUUAUCACGCUGUAUUUUGUUGAAUUUUAAUUCAUUACGGAAACGUGCUUGAUGACACUCAUAACCGCAUUUAACCUUUUGUUUAAGAUAUGGAUACUGACAACCUCUAAAGAUACUGGUUUAUUUGUUUUCCCAUUUUUCAAGCUAAAAUCCUGAAAAAUGUUUAGCUGUAUGAAUGGAAGUGAGGUUAUGAAUUUCAAUUGACAAAAUAGUCUCAAUAUAUAGUCGGGUUUGUUUACAUUUACUCAUUUUUAGUCUUUAUUCAUGGACCCAAUCGGAAAACGUUUGAUGUUUACCUCUCAGUUAACAACCUAUAAUACACCGUUACGACACCAC